UGCGUAGGCGGCGCGGUAAGUCGGGUGUGAAAUCUCGGAGCUUAACUCCGAAACUGCAUUCGAUACUGCCGUGCUUGAGGACUGGAGAGGAGACUGGAAUUUACGGUGUAGCGGUGAAAUGCGUAGAUAUCGUAGGGAAGACCAGUGGCGAAGGCGGGUCUCUGGACAGUUCCUGACGCUGAGGCACGAAGGCCAGGGGGAGCAAACGG
rnacentral:rRNA from 1 species